GGCCGUGGCUCAGUAGUAGAGCACCUGCUUGGCAUGCAGAAAGUCACAGGUUCAAUCCCUGGCAUCGCCA